rnacentral:lncRNA from 1 species
UCUCUUCUUCUCUCUUUUUCUCAUUCAUUCUUUAGUUUCAAUAUCAAAGCAAAAAUGGGUUCUUCUUGUAAUGUUGUUUCAAUGGCCUUACUGGCUUGUUUGGUGUUGAACUCCUUGGUUUUUGUUGCCCACGGUGGUGACUUUUACCAGGAUUUCGACCUAACAUGGGGUGACAGAAGAGGCAAGAUUUUCAAUGGUGGCAAGCUCUUGUCUUUGUCUUUAGACAGGGUUUCAGGGUCUGGUUUUCAAUCUAAGAAAGAGUAUUUGUUUGGAAGGAUCGAUAUGCAACUCAAGCUUGUUGCUGGCAACUCAGCUGGCACUGUCACUGCUUAUUAUGUAUGUUAAACAUAUAGUACUUCAUUAUUUUGAAUAGGCUAGUUGAUAUGCGAUCAUCCACUUAGAUUAUACUUUACAUUCGAUACAUAUUUUUAAUAAUAAAAAUAGAUAAAAUUUUAAAAAUAAUGACUAGUUUAAUUUUUAAUUUAACGUACAUAUAUUUAUUUUUUUAAUAAAAGAGAUUACUUUUAAUACCAAAACUUCCAUACACACCGAUAAUGACAAUAGAAUUUGUAUGAACAAAAAGAAUAGGAAAAAGUAUUGAUUCACAAGAAUGAACUUAUUAUUUUGCUUUUUAACCAAUUAUUUUGGUUUUGAACCAUCCCUAUCUUUAUGACCUUUUUCAUGCUACAUACAUAUAGAAUGUGUUACAAAGCUUUUAUGUUACAUUUUAGAAGUGUUUUUAAUGUAUUUUUUGUGUAUGUUUUGCAGCUGUCAUCUCAAGGGCCAACCCAUGAUGAGAUAGACUUUGAAUUCUUAGGGAAUCUGAGCGGUGACCCUUACAUUUUACACACCAAUGUCUUUACACAAGGCAAAGGCAACAGAGAACAACAGUUCUAUCUUUGGUUUGACCCUACAAGAAACUUCCACAC